rnacentral:rRNA from 1 species
AGUGAACGCUGGCGGUAUGCCUAAUACAUGCAAGUCGAACGGCAGCACAGUAAGAGCUCGCCCUUACGGGUGGCGACUGGCGGAUGGGUGAGGCAUACAUCGCAAUCUACUAUGUCGCGGGGGAUAACGGGAGGAAGCAUACGCUACUAGAGCAUACUUCGAACGGCUUAAAUCAGGGGAUCAUGACGCUCUUGCUGUCACUUUUAGCUGGAUCCGGGCUGGAUUAGCUAGUUGGUAAGGUAACGGCUCACCAAGGCAACGAUGCGUAGCCGGGCUGAGAGGAUGAUCAGCCACACUGGAACUGAGACACGGUCCAGACUCCUACGGGAGGCAGCAGUAGGGAAUAUUGGACAAUGGGCGCAAGCCUGAUGCAGCCAUACCGCGUGGGUGAAGAAGGCCUUCGGGUUGUAAAGCCCUUUUGUUGGGAAAGAAAAGAAGCAGGUUAAUACCUCGCUGUUCUGACGGUACCCAAAGAGUAAGCACCGGCUAACUUCGUG